rnacentral:rRNA from 1 species
GAUGAACGCUGGCGGCGUGCCUAAUACAUGCAAGUCGAGCGAACAGACGAGGAGCUUGCUCCUCUGACGUUAGCGGCGGACGGGUGAGUUACACGUGGAUAACCUACCUAUAAGACUGGGAUAACUUCGGGAAACCGGAGCUAAUACCGGAUAAUAUAUUGAACCGCAUGGUUCAAUAGUGAAAGACGGUUUUGCUGUCACUUAUAGAUGGAUCCGCGCCGCAUUAGCUAGUUGGUAAGGUAACGGCUUACCAAGGCAACGAUGCGUAGCCGACCUGAGAGGGUGAUCGGCCACACUGGAACUGAGACACGGUCCAGACUCCUACGGGAGGCAGCAGUAGGGAAUCUUCCGCAAUGGGCGAAAGCCUGACGGAGCAACGCCGCGUGAGUGAUGAAGGUCUUCGGAUCGUAAAACUCUGUUAUUAGGGAAGAACAAAUGUGUAAGUAACUAUGCACGUCUUGACGGUACCUAAUCGGAAAGCCACGGCUAACUACGUG